rnacentral:rRNA from 1 species
GACGAACGCUGGCGGCGUGCUUAACACAUGCAAGUCGAACGCUGAAGCUCAGCUUUUGUUGGGUGGAUGAGUGGCGAACGGGUGAGUAACACGUGAGUAACCUGCCUCCUUCUUUGGGGUAACGCCCGGAAACGGGUGCUAAUACUGGAUAUUCACUGGUCUUCGCAUGGGGGUUGGUGGAAAGGGUUUUUCUGGUGGGGGAUGGGCUCGCGGCCUAUCAGCUUGUUGGUGGGGUGAUGGCCUACCAAGGCUUUGACGGGUAGCCGGCCUGAGAGGGUGACCGGUAACAUUGGGACUGAGAUACGGCCCAGACUCCUACGGGAGGCAGCAGUGGGGAAUAUUGCACAAUGGGCGCAAGCCUGAUGCAGCGACGCCGCGUGAGGGAUGGAGGCCUUCGGGUUGUGAACCUCUUUCGCUCAUGGUCAAGCCGCAACAAUGGUUGUGGUGAGGGUAGUGGGUAAAGAAGCGCCGGCUAACUACGUG